rnacentral:rRNA from 1 species
GAUGAACGCUGGCGGCGUGCCUAAUACAUGCAAGUCGAGCGAACAGACGAGGAGCUUGCUCCUCUGACGUUAGCGGCGGACGGGCGAGUAACACGUGGAUAACCUACCUAUAAGACUGGGAUAACUUCGGGAAACCGGAGCUAAUACCGGAUAAUAUAUUGAACCGCAUGGUUCAAUAGUGAAAGACGGUUUUGCUGUCACUUAUAGAUGGAUCCGCGCCGCAUUAGCUAGUUGGUAAGGUAACGGCUUACCAAGGCAACGAUGCGUAGCCGACCUGAGAGGGUGAUCGGCCACACUGGAACUGAGACACGGUCCAGACUCCUACGGGAGGCAGCAGUAGGGAAUCUUCCGCAAUGGGCGAAGGCCUGACGGAGCAACGCCGCGUGAGUGAUGAAGGUCUUCGGAUCGUAAAACUCUGUUAUUAGGGAAGAACAAAUGUGUAAGUAACUAUGCACGUCUUGACGGUACCUAAUCAGAAAGCCACGGCUAACUACGUG